rnacentral:rRNA from 1 species
AAUGAACGUUGGCGGCGUGGAUUAGGCAUGCAAGUCGAGCGAGAACCCAGCAAUGGGGGACAGCGGCGCAAGGGACAGUAAUGUGUAGAUUAUCUGCCCUCGGGUCCGGGAUAGCUGCGGGAAACUGCAGGUAAUACCGGAUAACAUCUCCGGAUCAAAGGUGUGAUUCCGCCCGAGGAUGAGUCUACAUCCUAUUAGCUAGUUGGCAGGGGAAUGGCCUACCAAGGCGAUGAUGGGUAGCGGGUGUGAGAGCACGACCCGCGUCAUUGGGGCUGAUACACUGCCCAGACACCUACGGGUGGCUGCAGUCGAGAAUCGUCGGCAAUGGGCGCAAGCCUGACCGAGCGACGCCGCGUGUGGGAUGAAGGCCUUCGGGUUGUAAACCACUGUCAGGGGGGAUGAAAUGCAGGUGGGUUCUCCCAUCUGUUUGACAUAGCCUCAGAGGAAGGACGGGCUAAGUUCGUGCCAGCAGCCGCCGUAAAAC